rnacentral:rRNA from 1 species
UACGGGGGGGGGCAAGCGUUGUUCGGAAUUACUGGGCGUAAAGGGCUCGUAGGCGGCCAACUAAGUCGGAUGUGAAAUCCCCAGGCUUAACCUGGGAACUGCAUCCGAUACUGGAUGGCUUGAAUCCGGGAGAGGGAUGCAGAAUUCCAGGUGUAGCGGUGAAAUGCGUAGAUAUCUGGAGGAAUACCGGUGGCGAAGGCGGCAUCCUGGACCGGCAUUGACGCUGAGGAGCGAAAGCUAGGGGAGCAAACAGG